rnacentral:rRNA from 1 species
UGGGGAAUAUUGGACAAUGGGCGCAAGCCUGAUCCAGCCAUGCCGCGUGUGUGAAGAAGGCCUUUUGGUUGUAAAGCACUUUAAGCGAGGAGGAGGCUACUUGGAUUAAUACUCUAAGAUAGUGGACGUUACUCGCAGAAUAAGCACCGGCUAACUCUGUGCCAGCAGCCGCGGUAAUACAGAGGGUGCGAGCGUUAAUCGGAUUUACUGGGCGUAAAGCGUGCGUAGGCGGCUUCUUAAGUCGGAUGUGAAAUCCCUGAGCUUAACUUAGGAAUUGCAUUGGAUACUGGGAAGCUAGAGUAUGGGAGAGGAUGGGAGAAUUCCAGGUGUAGCGGUGAAAUGCGUAGAGAUCUGGAGGAAUACCGAUGGCGAAGGCAGCCAUCUGGCCUAAUACUGACGCUGAGGUACGAAAGCAUGGGGAGCAAACAGG